rnacentral:lncRNA from 1 species
CCGUUUCCAGCCUACCAACCAGGACUCGCAACCGUCCCCUUGUGCCAAGGUCCAAUGAGUAAAGCUGGGAAUUCACAUUCUGGAGGAAAUGCUCAGUUUGAGGUGCAGGCUGGUCACAGCAGUGACAUGUCUCAGAUGCCUUCUGCACCGUGCUUGUCUUCAGGCCACAAAGCACCCCUGUGACAGACUUCCUUAGACAGCAUCUACACAGACAAGGUUACUGUAUACACAGGAAGACAGCAGCGCAGUGCUACAUUGCAAAGCAGGCUACACUGUAGAGCAAGCGGCAACGAUUGCCUCCCCUGGCGGUCUUAUUCCACAAGCUGUUUUGAUUUAUGGUGCUUGGGUUGCAUCUUAUCUCCCUUCCUCAGGAGAUACUCAUCAGUUGGCCAGGACUGUGUCAAGUUCACCUCUCAUUCCCAUUGUGCCGGAGCACAUACAUAUUCAAAGUCAGAGUACAAAGUCAAGAUGGGACCCGUGGACAGAAAAGGACUUUGGGAAAAACUAAGGCAAUCUGAGUAAAGUAUGGAUUUUAUCACCCCGUGGCGUAUCAACGCUGA